rnacentral:rRNA from 1 species
AUUCCAGCUCCAAUAGCGUAUAUUAAAGUUGUUGCAGUUAAAAAGCUCGUAGUUGGAUUUCUGGUGGGAGCGAUCGGUCUGGCGCUUAGCGCGAGUACUUGCAUCGUCUCCGGCCAUCCUUGGGGAGAGUUUGUCUGGCAUUAAGUUGUCGGGCAGAGGAUCCUCAUCGUUUACUGUGAAAAAAUUAGAGUGUUCAAAGCAGGCUUAUGCCGUUGAAUAUAUUAGCAUGGAAUAAUAAGAUAGGACUUUGGUACUAUUUUGUUGGUUUCUAGAGCUGAGGUAAUGAUUAAUAGGGAUAGUUGGGGGCAUUCGUAUUUAACUGUCAGAGGUGAAAUUCUUGGAUUUGUUAAAGACGGACUACUGCGGAAGCAUCUGCCAUGGAUGUUUUCAUUG